rnacentral:rRNA from 1 species
GACGAACGCUGGCGGCGUGCCUAAUACAUGCAAGUCGAACGAGAGCGACCGGUGCUUGCACUGGUCAAUCUAGUGGCGAACGGGUGAGUAACACGUGGGUAACCUGCCCAUCAGAGGGGGAUAACAUUCGGAAACGGAUGCUAAAACCGCAUAGGUCUUCGAACCGCAUGGUUUGAAGAGGAAAAGAGGCGCAAGCUUCUGCUGAUGGAUGGACCCGCGGUGCAUUAGCUAGUUGGUGAGGUAACGGCUCACCAAGGCCGUGAUGCAUAGCCGACCUGAGAGGGUGAUCGGCCACAUUGGGACUGAGACACGGCCCAAACUCCUACGGGAGGCAGCAGUAGGGAAUCUUCCGCAAAGGACGCAAGUCUGACGGAGCAACGCCGCGUGAGUGAAGAAGGUGUUCGGAUCGUAAAACUCUGUUGUUAGAGAAGAAUAAGUGCUAGAGUAACUGUUAGCGCCUUGACGGUAUCUAACCAGAAAGCCACGGCUAACUACGUG